CCAAUGGCCUAGCCAACAGAACGCCUAUCAGGAAGACCAGGCUGCCAAUCUUCUGGUGAGGAUGCCAUCACUCAGGAAGAAAGAACGGUUCAUCUAAACUGUACUGUGGACAUGGAAGGAAAUCGUCUCUUCAAUGAGGCAUGCACAACUAUGGCUGGAUUUUUUACAAGUGCUGGCAAUCUGAACUAAGGUCUUCAAGCCUACAAAAAACAUUAGUAAGAUUCCAGCCCUUUCUACAAAACCGUGAUUAUUGCAAACUGGGUGAAAGAACACAGCACACUGAAGCAUGUGGCACCUAAUCCACAGAAGGACAAGCACCGAGUCGACACUUACAGGCUUCUACCCCAAUGAUGCAUUUCCAUGGUGCCUUUUGCCAUGGUGCUCAGAACUUCAAGCAGAUCUAUUUGUCUAAUAACAAGUGCAUAUGUAGGAAAAGAGUUCUUCAUGGCUCAUACCUUUUCAGAUGUUUGUUGUUGACAAAUUGUAAGAAAUAUAUAACAUUUUAAAUUUCUAUAUCUUCUUAUGCACUAAAAAGGGAAAUCUUCCAUCAUAACCCCACUGCACAGGCACAGCAUUAAUCUCUUACAAGUUCCUCUUAUACAUGAGUUCCAACUCAUUUAAAGAUACAUAAAUAUUCUAAACAAAACCCAUGAUUUCUUUACUCUCUCCAAACUCUUAACAAAUCUGUUGCAAUAGAAAGCUAUCUCUACCAUUAAGAUUAUUAAUAUAUAUUGAGUAUUUCCAAUUAUUUCCUACAUCAUCCUUAAAUCCAAGUGUCAAAUAUCAUAAUUUGAGAGUAAAUGUAGAAACCACUCUGUCAACCCCUUGGUCCUGCCAAGGCUCAAUGUACCAGUGUAGGGGAAUGUCAGGGCAGGGAGGUAGGACGGGGUGGGCUGGGGUGGGGUGGGGAAACACCCUCGUAGAAGAAGAGGUAGGGAGAUGGGUUAGGGGGUUUAUGGAUGGGAAACCAGGAAAGGGGAUAACACUUGAAAUGUAAAUAAAAAAUAUUCAAUUAAAAAAAAAGAAAUCUCUCUGUUAAUCUUUUGGGGUCUGGAAUUCUAUCAUUUAAAACUCACAAAUAAAGACAUAAUUUCUAGAAACAAUUUACCUUCUUUGCUAUUCUAUGAAAGAUGCUAUUCCUGUUUUAAAAAUGAAGAAGCACAUGAACAAAGACGUUCUAUACCUUCUCUAAAGCCUUUUGGCAAGUGAGAGAUUAAGGAUUAGCACCUGGAAGCACAUGAGAGGCUCACUCAGUACAUAAUAAUGGUCCCUCCAGAGGUUAACAGGAGGCAUGGUACUCAUCUGACUUCAGAAGAAGACAACAUUAAGUUCAAAGCUCAUUUUUACCAUCCACUGUGUGGUCUUGGGACCAAAUCUUUACCAUUAUGGGCCUGAAUUUUCUGUGCACCCAAAUAAUAAGUUCUUUAGUGAGUAUUUUUCACAAAUUGUUUCAUUUAAUUAUUAAAGUGACUUGUAAGCUAUUGCCAACUUUGGGCUCUGCAUUCAAAUAUUCAUAUGGUCUUUGAUCAAAAAGAGCUUUCAAAUAAUGUUUAUCUGAUGAGCAUUGACAUUUUUGUCAUCAUUAAACAACUGAGUAAAACAAAUAUUUAUAUAGCAUUUAUGCUGCAUCAGAUAUUCAAAAGAACCUAAACAUGAUUUUAAAUAUCCAGGAUGUGUGUAGGUCAUAAACAAACACUAUGCCAUUUAAGAAACUUUUGUCCAGCUUGUGUUAUUUGUAGAAAUCACACCAGUACCCUGGAGAUACCAGCUGUGAGUGUGGCCGCAGACUUCAUGCAGUGUUACCUGAGGAAAGUGAGGUUGACCAAGUGCUUAUUGGUAAACAGUGAGUAGUAAAGGUAGAUUUGCUACGCGACAGAACCAUAUCCACAGUUGCUUGCCUUAGUGAGCUAAGCAGUAGAACCUUCUUCAGAGUAUUGUGACUUGUAUUUUUGUCAGGAUUAAAUGGUGGACACUAUCCAGUCGAUUAAAGGCACAAAAAGAACAAACGAUGACUUUCUUUCAAGUGUGAAGGAAUUUCUCCUCCCUUCUGAUUCAAAGUGUAACACUGGUUCUUUCUCAGUCUUGAGCCUGCUGGUUUUCAAACUAGGAAUCCCAUCAGACCUGCCGUGCCUCAAACCUAUGGAUGAAGAGGAAACCUCUAUCUUUGCUCCACCUGGGACCUCAGUCUGCUGUCUGUGGACUUAGGUACUAAACAGACUUCAUAACCAUGUGACCCAUUUCCUCUUAUAGUCUCUUUCUAUAUAGGCAUAGAUAGCAAUGGUUCCUUUCCCCUAAGUACUGUGAACAAUACAGCAUGUGACACACAUCACAGAUGCACACAAAAACAGCCAUGAAUGUACCUUAAACAUUUCCUAGGGGAAACCAGAGAAAGAUACAACACAACAUGAGGAACAUGUCCUUUAACAAGAGCAAAGCCAGGUGCAGUGGAGGAAGACUACAUUUUCAAGUACACUGGAUUCUUAGAAGAAGAGAAGAAAGAGAUGUUUAAAACAUAAUCCCAGAUUGUUCAUGAGAAAUAAAUGGUAAAGACAGCUACCACCAUCAAUGUGGAUUGUUCUAGAAAUUAAGAGCAAGAACUUCUUUGCUGCGUGGGAGUGACGUGGUGAUGGCAAGCUCACUGACAUGAUUGAUUUUGGCCCUUCGUUUUGGGAGAUAAGAGGUUACAGGAAAGUGAAGGGGUUAAUAGAAAAGGCCAGGUCAUGCAGUAAGGCAGUCCACCCAACGUCUAUUUGUGCAUUUCAGACCCAGCCAUCACCCACUGAGGAAUAAAAAGGCUUCUUCAGCCAUGAGGCUGGGCUCCUCAAGUUUUCAUAAAAACCCUUAGUUUUAGGUAAGGUUAGAAGACUCCUUCGUUCAUACUCGGGCUACACCAAUAUGCUUGGAACUCUUCUCAGCACACAGUGACACAGUCCAUGCCAACUCUCCUGAAUGUCUGUGUUUGGUUAAGGUUGGGGCCAGUGCCAUGUCUUCAACAAGUAAACAUAAAAAGAAAAAUAAGUGACAUUUACUCAGUCUUGGCUAACUGACUUCUUCCUACCCUCUAAGCUAAGAACCAAAGAAGCUACAAUUGCUGGGAAAGGAAGGAGAAAGCUGACUUUUAGGGAAAAUGGAAAUAAAAGCAAUGUGACCAAUUCCAAUAUAUGACAUCUAUUUUUAUUUUCCUCAAGGAAAAUUGUGUAUCAUUGCCAAAAUUCUCCAAGUAACCACAACUGACAUUUCUCAGCAUCAGAGCAGGGCGAAUGACAGUAAUACCUGCUUCUUCCUCCAGCAGACAGAGAGGGAAGCGCUCUCCAAGGAGAUGCUAUGCUGCUUCUCGUGACUUUUAAUCUCCUUUUAUGUCUCCUAAACACAGCACUCUGUCUUAUGUAAUUCAAGGUUCAUAGAACAAACCUAUUUUACCCAAAGCAUUAAAACUAGUGCAAUGAAUUUUUAUAUUUCCUUCUGGCUACAUUUACUAAAAACCUACUCUCAUUAUGCAACCAAAUAUAUGCUGGUGAUGUGUACAUUAUAAUUUUUACAAAGGUCUAAAGAGUACUGUCAAUAAACAGAAAAAAAAGAGUCCUGCUAAAGGAUGGCCAAGCAAGAGAGGAAUGCAAACAUAAGGCCUUUACCAUGCUCAGAAUCUCCGUUUGUAUUUGUUACACAUGAUCAAUGGAACUGAACACUGAACGCUGAAAACAUUUUUAAAUACACAAAUUAUUAUCUUGCAUUAGCUUGCACCACUAGAAUUCAUCAGUUCUAUAGAAGAAUAUACUUAUGCUGCUUUAAUUAGUCUUCACUGUAAGCUCUACUCAAUAUGGAAAGUUUCACAAGAAGAACAGGGAACCGAAGAAGUCAGACACUAGACAUCAGCCUCCUUACCUUGACAGUCAAAACCCCUCACUGACAAGAGUAAUGGGAUGAAAUACCCCUGCAUGCUAUGGCUUCCUCUCAGUCUAAAAUGCACCCAAACUGCUUCUGGGGAACUACUACCACCUCUCCAUCUUUUCUAGAGAUAUGAAUUCAACAUAGAAUGUUACUAGAGUUAUGUUGGUGUCAAAUGAAAAAAAAAAAAGGAUUUUUAGGUCCACAGUUCUGGACUCGCAGGAACACUGCAUAAAUGUGUAAUGGAGAAGAAAAUGAUCACAUCACUUUCUUCUGAUUCUCCCUCAAAGACUGGCUUGUCAGUUCUACUCAAUGAUUUGUUAGGAAUUUCCUCAAUAUCUGUCAAGAUGUUUUUACUGCGGGUAACGAAUUGCCUUUCAUUUACCCUCCCUAACAUCACAGAGUCCCUUGACCAUUGUCUUGCUGAGUCUUUACCGCAGUGGUAAAUACCAUGGCCAAAACCAAUUAUUGGGGGCAGGGGGGCAUUAUGUGGCUUACAUGGUACCAGCCAGCAGCAAGGGAAGGCUGGCCCUCCCCACAGUGUGCUAGGCCCUCCACAUCACUUAUUAAUCUAGAAAAUGCUGCACAGCCAUGCCCAAUAGGCAACGUGAUGCAGGCAAUUCCUGAAGUGAGGCUCUCUCAUCCCCAGUAACUUUUCUGUGUGUCAGGCUGACGACAACUAACCAGCUGACGAUGACUAACCAGUUGACGACGACUAACUGGCUGACGACUAACCAGUUGACAACGACUAACCAGCAUAACUAUUAAGCAAAGCCUGAGCUUUCCAUUCCCUGUUCCUGAUUUCCAUCUUGGCAUCAGGGCCAUUUCCUUCUCCAUCAUCUUCAGCUAAAUCUUAACUACGUAUUUUCUCCAGCUUCCUUGGAGAAAGCGUUGGGGGUGGGAGUUCUAUAUCAGAACUCAUAGACCUAUAUGGAAUGAGUUUUGCAGAGUCCCCCUCACUUAUGUGUUCACUGAAUUUCCCCCUCUCCUACUGCAGUGCAAGUGUACUUUCAGGGUUUAGUUACAGAAUCACAGAAAGUGCCUUUUGGAUGUCUUCUCAAAUACUCAAAUGUUGACAGCUGUUGAAACUGAUCUCUAUUUCAGAACCGAAUGCUGAAAUAAAAAUCCAAUCUCAUUCCUACCCAAAGACUGUGGGUAUUAAAGACAGUGGCUUCAGGAUACAAGGAAGGGUAAGGGAGAGGCAAGACCAGCUGGUUUUGUUGAUGGUUCCUAUGUAUACCUACACUCAUUCUGGGCAGGAGAUAAUAAAGCUAAAGCUAAAAACAGGCAAUGAAGCAAAAAAUCCAAAUAGAAUAUCCAAACUAUGGGGUUCUAUAUCUAGACAUAUUGUUGCUUCUCUAUAUAAUGGAAAGAUUUGUUAUCAGUAAUGCAUUAUCAUAAUCAUACAUUUUAUUGAUUUAAAAUAUUUGAUUGCUAUAGAAGCUUCCUUUUGAAAUAAUAUUAAAGCCAAUACUUGUGAUGAUAUAAAAACUGUAUGUUACUAAAGUGCUUUCUCUUAAGUGGAGGCAAGCAGACAAAGCCAUCAGUUCACUAGCAGAGGCAUUGGUUGUAUUUUUCUUAAUCAGCAGGCUUACUUUCUUAUCUAAGUUCUAUUCAAGUCUUUUUCUUUUCUCACGAAAAACCCACACAUGUGUAAUUCUAUCAGUGUUGUUACUAAUAUUUAUUUUUGAUGGCUUUUCUAAUUUUUGUGAAGUCAUAUGAUCAAUGUAGCCUUACCCAUUCCGAAUUCCCAUCUGAAGACAUUAAGAAAAUGCAAGUGUAAGAAAAAUAUUCAUUGUAGAAUGCCAACCUAUCUUUAAACAAUAAAUAUUACAAAACAGACACUUGAUGCUGGAUAAAAUGUACUGCAUAAAAAUAUGUAGUGCAAAAAAACUAUGUAGUGCAUGUUAGGACGUCACCGCUGGGCUGCCACCAAGUUCCCAGACACGUCAGUGUUGGGUUGGUCAGUCUUACAGGGGAUAACCUCAUGACUCAAGAGCUACCCAAAGUUAUUCCUAAAUAACAAUAUUGGCUGAGAGUGUUCUAAUAGAGUUUUACUUGCUAACAUUUCUCUUAAGAAUCUUCAUUACUUCACCAUAUAAUCUUGUGAAGAUUGUGGCAGAACAUUAAUACCUGCAAAGUCCAAAUCUUUGUUCUCACCUAAGUACAAGUUUGUCAUGGUGAACAUGGAAUUACUUUGUUCCUCUGAUUAGUACAUAGUGAAAAUAAAUAGAGUAAACAUUUCAUUAGUGAAAUGCACAUGGAACCAAGGCUAUGGUCAGGGUCCUUCUGUCUGGUUUGAAGCCCACUCUAGUCUGACAUCCUCCUUCUUCUUCCGUAAACAAUUGACAUCAAGGAUAAGUGACUAACAGCAUAAAGAAUCACCAACAUCCACCACCUAAUGGAGAAACACUGAUGGUCUGAGGCUCAGGUCUUCACGGCCUGAGUGAUGCUGGUAGUGGGAAUGAGAGAAUGAAGUGUGUGCUGUAAUCCCCAUGCUGAUCCAGAUAAACAGCAGCCGGACAGAAGCACAUGCUGAAAACAUUCCGAUUCUCAUCCACUUCUCAGAAAGCAUCCAGCAGAGUGAAAGAAAUGAAUCCCUUUCUCAGUGUCGAUUAUGUUAAACAUUCUCAUUGCUUUAAAACCCUCUUUCUUCCUUCCCUUCCUCCUCUGACACCCCACUCCAGCCUAUGUAUCCUUAAAGGCUGUGCCAGGCUCAUCUUCCUUUCUGAAGGCAUACUUUUCUCAUCUGUCUCUAGAUAAGAUUUGCCAUAAAGAGCCAAGCUUCAACUCCCAUGGUCAGGAUUCCCAUUGCUUCCUCCUCUACUUAUUCUAUAUGCAAAGUCCUGUCACGAACAGAGUUCUUAGAAAAAGGAAAGAGGUUCAGGCAAGAGCAUUGAGUUAACCAGUAGAAUAAAGGAGAGAACUAUGAAUACGUUAUUAUUGUUAUGGUCACAUAUGCAAACCUCCAGCUUUGCAAACUAAUGGUGAGAUCUCUAUCAACUUCACUCUAGGGCUGCCUACUUUCUACUUCAUUUCUCAGCUAGCUACUGGUGGUCACAGUAAUCAACCCCCAACAGUGUAGACAAACCAUGGGAUCUGUGCUCUCCUGUUCUCUUUACAAGUAGAGCGAUAUUUAGACUUCAGAUGCAGAGCUCUGUAGAAUCAAUCUUACCAUCUCUGUGUUCUUAGUGUUGGCCAUACACCUAUGCCUUUUACCUUCUCUCAACAGAACAACACUGUUGUCCUUCAAUUUAAAAUCUAUUUUUUUCUAGUCUUCAACUUCUAGGGUCUAAGGCAUCCAAAGUAAGAGCACUAUUUAAUUACAAUCAAUAAGGGCGACUGAAACUCUUGAAGGUUUAAACAAACUUGGCUUUCUCUCUCACAUGGUGUUCCAUUGUUUUUUUUUCCUAUAUUAUUCCAUUUAACCUCACAGUUUCUUUCUUCACAGAAAAAGCUAAUGUCUGUACUUUUGUAAUAUGAUAUGCGUGUGUGUCUGUCUGUCUGUAUGUGUGUAUUUAAGUGUGUUAUGUCUGUCAGUCUGCCUGCCUGUCUGUCUAUAAGUCUGCAUGUCAUAGCACAUGGUUGAUCCUUGCUACCUUAAAGAUCCUGGGGCUCAAUCUCAAGUUGUCAUCCUUGGUGACAAGUACCUUUACUUGCUGAGGCACCUCACUAGCCCCACAAUGUUUCCCUUAUUACAAAUAUAUCCAUAUUGUUAAAAGAUGGAACUAUAUAACCACAAGAUUUUAAAGAUCCUUAUCUCAAGCUCACAAUCUACCUGUUCAUUCUCCUUUCUGUCCCUGAUUCACAUAUUGUCCAGCUGUUGGUCAACUCUUCCUCUGCAUUAGUCGUGUGAGUGUGUGUGUGAGUGUGUGUGUGUGUGUGUGUGUGUGUGUGUGUGUGUGUGUGUGUGUGUUUUCUCCUGCUCACAUUCUGGAAUUCAUCUUUUCACCCAUUUAUUACAAUUAAAAACUAAGGUUAUUUUUGGGGGCUGGGGAUUUAGCUCAGUGGUAGAGCGCUUACCUAGGAAGCGCAAGGCCCUGGGUUCGGUCCCCAGCUCCAAAAAAAAGAACAAAAAACAAAAAAAAAAAACAAAAAACUAAGGUUAUUUUUGAAAGGUCAAAUCCAUGUUAAGAUAUUUUCCUACUAUUUCUUCCAUGAAGCUUUCUUGACAACUUCACUUUCUCAAUACUUUACUCAUUAACAGAUCAUAGAUUUGCUGCUUUAAAAUUUCUUUUCCUGGCUAGACUAAGGGAUGUCUUUUGGUAGAGUCCAUGAGAGAUACUGGAUAUAUAAAAAUUCAUUGUUAUUUUCACUCUCAAAACCUUUCCAGUGUAGAUUAGAAGAUAAAACAACAAACAGCUCUGUCACAGCACUGAGGACAAGCCAUUUCUAUCUAAAUGGCUUCAUGACAGGUACGCACAUUCUGUACAACCAAGACUAUGUUGCAUUCAAUAAAUAUAAAGAUUAACCAAGUAUAUAAGAUGAACAAUAAAGAUAUAAAGAAAAGAGAAUAUAGCAAGUUUAAGUACAAGCAUAAUGAAAAAUGAAACAAAACAACAACAGAGGAAAACCCAGAGUAGACUAGUCAAAAGGAACUGCAUUGGCAUCCAGUAUUUGGAGAGCAGAGCCAGGGAGGAUACUCUUGUCAGAGAUAAAGGAUGAACUGUGGAGUCACAGGGUGCCCAGGAGCUACUGAGCACAUGUAUGGCUUACAUGGUUUGGUUCAACUAACACCCAGAACUUUGAGGGAGAAAGAAUGAGGAAGUACAAUCAGAUAUACUGUGACUUCCUGAGCUAGUAACUGAAAAAUCCAGUGUUGAAUGAAACCCAAGAAUAUUCUGAAGUCUACCCUAUCUAAUUGAAUUUAACUAAAAACCCAAGGCAGGUAUGCUGGAAAAUUCUGUGUCAACUUGAAACAAAGUAGAGUUAUCUGAAAGGAGGGAACAUCAAUUGAGAAAAUGCCUCCACAAGAUACAAAUAUAGGGCAUUUUCUUUUUUUUUAUUUUGUAUUUUUUUUUAAAUUUAUUUAAUACUUAAUAAUAAUUCUUUGGUAUAGGGCAUUUUCUUAAUAAGUUAUCGAUGGAGGAGGGUCCAGCCCAUUGUGAGUGGUAUUAUUCCUAGGCUGGUGGUCCUGGGUUCUAUAAGAAACCAGGCUGAGCAAGCUAUGUGGAGCAAGCCAUACAACAUUCCUCCAUGGCUUCUUCAACUCCCAGUUCAUGUUCCUCCCCUGUUUGAGUUCCUGUCCUGACCUUCUUCAAUAUGAACUACUGUAUUCUCUGUAACCUUAUAUUUUUGGUCAUGGUGUUUUGUUACAUCAAUAGAAACCCUACCUAGGACACUGAGUGUAUCCAUAAAAUUAAUAAUAAAAUACAUAUUUGCAAAAAGAUCAAAGCCUUAAUUUUUACAUAAUUGAAUACUGAGACCAAGUAGUUGAUUAAUACAUAUGAAGGAAAAAUUAAUAGAAUCAGAAAAACAUAAAAGUUUUGCUCCCAAAAGGCUUUCUAAAUCUGUGCGUACUGUCCUCUAAUGAUCUGUCUCUGAGAGUUGUAGAUCAUGAGGAAAACACCAUUUAAUCUUAUCACUAAGCACCAUUCUGUAAAAUAAUUCUGCUGCUUUAGGCCAAGUGUCUCCAGUACUGAGGACAACUGCAGGUAUUGUAACUAGCACAGUGCACAUAUAUUUAGCAAGUAAGUUACUUGAAGAACACCAGUUUUAAUGAAGGAAUGAGUAGGUCUAUUUGUGCGAGCACGUCUGAGACAUGAGUAUAAAUACAAAAUUAAUCAGCACUUUGGCCAUAUUAGUUCUCUUAGUAAAUUCAUUUUCAUUUGCCGUUAGAAUCACAUCAUUUCUCCUUGAAACUUUCUUAUGGAAUUAUAAAUGUCUAUGUAACAAUGGUGUUGGCUUCAAAUGCCUCAGAAAGAAUCAAGAGAUCACCAAACUGUCACAGAGGCCGAUUUACAAAGUGCCUUUCAGUUAAUAAUCACUACAAAAAGUUUUUAUGUUCAUUCAGAAGUGGUUCAAAAUAUUUUAAUAAAAUGCUAAUAUGAAUAUUACAUCUUUAUCUGUUUUAAGGUGGAGAAAACAUUAUCAAUGUUUCAUUUAUAAAACCAAGUUCCCAUGAAGCAGAGCAGAAGGCCUGCUUAUUACAGAUUUUCCCAGCCAAAUUCCCAAAGGGCCCCCAACAGGCUUUCUCAAUUUGUGGGCAUGUCCUCUAACAAUCGAUUUCUUUCCAGACUCUCCUUGGAAACCAAAGAUUUAUGUCACUCUCUUCAUAUUUGAAAAGGAAAUUGGUCCCUGUUAAAGAAAAAAUAAAAAGUGAAAGCUUAUUUGUAUCAAAGAAUCCACGCUGGCUGGACAAAUAAGUCAUUAAUAUGCCCUAGGCAGGAGGCUCCUCCACCAGUGACUGUCUCCAUGGGACUGUUAUCACUGUGUGGACUUCACGAAUCCAGCUCACAGAAGGCAUUUGUGAAGAUGAUUCAUGCUUACACAUGUGUUUAGAAAAGAAAAUACUGUCAGAUAGUAAUUGGGGAAUUAGACCGCCUCUUUGUAAAUAUUUUAAAUCUCCAGCUCAAAUUCUAGAACCAGGGAAGAGUCACAUAGGCUGGAAACAUUUCUUUAAAAAUGAAUACUCACUUAGUAUCCUGAAAAAUUUUUGAGGUCACUCAAACAAACAGGUAUUGCAGCAUUUCAUCGAUAGCUUAUCAAACCACAGAACAGGACAGAACAAAAAGACAUUUGCUAGGGAACUCUCUGGUCAACGUUCUAUGAAAGCAUAUGAGCAUAUUUUAUAAACUCAUCUUCACAGGAAGUUACCCAGCUUAAUAAGCACAGACCUGCAAGUUAAUAUUAAAAUUUACUUUGAUUUCAGUGGCAACAAAGCUGAUCCAACGAGGAGCUAUUACAUAAAACCCUUAUUGUCACAUUCGUCAUCACCACUCUCAACAGAGUACUGCCAGCACCAAGAAGCCAGCUCCCAGUUCACCUCAGGAAAUAUGCUGCACAGAUGGCCAACCUAAUAACAAUGCAGUAGUGAGGUGGCCCUGUUUAUCUUCUCAAAAUGACACUGCCUUAAUUUUUCAAUUCUCUUUACUGAUGUCCUCUUUCAUGUAUAGGUCUAUUAGAUCCCACUUCCUCUACUGUCCUCCCAGGACUUGGUGCUUGCCAACUACAGUAAGUUGUUUUGACAACUUGUCUAGCUAUACAAUACUCUGUUUCUUUCCCUCUGCAUUCGUUCUGGCUUCAAAUGACUGCCUUCAAAAUAUAGCAGGCUAUCCAAUCAAAGUAUACAACCGGGGGAAAGCUUUCUGUGCCUAAACACUGUCCUGCCCAAACCAUAAUCUUUCAUGUGCCCAUAGUUCUUUCUUUUACUCUUUAUUUCAUAGAUAAAUCCCAUUUGCUAUCUUGUCUACUCCUAUCUUAAUAAGGAAUGACUGCCGUGACUACCCCCAUCUAGCUACGCCAUUCACCGCCAGCACCUCUGCUCUCCUCGUGUGCUUCAAGAAGAACUGAUUAGCACUUUGCAUAAUUAACCUGAUUAGCACUGUGCAUAAUCAAACUGAUUAGCACUUUGCAUAAUUAAAAAGAAAUAAUAAUAAUAACAAUAAUAAGCACUAAGUAAUAUCAGAAGCUGUUAGUCCCUCAGCCCUUUGGUUACCUCCAAGAUUAGUUCAAUGCAACAUAUCUUGCACCUCCACAUUGACAUCUUUUCUGUAAAUCUAAAGUCAAGAAAGCAAAAUCAAAUUCUUUCAGUCCACAAAUCCAUGAUGGACUUUAGUUCCACUCUCAGUUACUAAAAUGUUUGAGCUUUUCCCAACUAUGUCUCCCUCUCCACAAUCUUUGAUAUUCCAUGGGCACUAAGGUGAGACAAAUAUGAGAAUGAGACAAGUCAAUGGAAACCCUUAGAAUAAAAUUAGAAUUGAAGAUACAUGCUGCCCUGUUCAAAUGAGAAACUUCCCAGGAAAGCC